rnacentral:rRNA from 1 species
CAAGUCGAACGAGUGCAGCAAUGCACGAGUGGCGGACGGGUGAGGAACACGUGGAUCAUCGACCCAUCGCUGGGGAAUACCCCUGGGAAACCAGGGCUAAUACCGCAUACGCUCCGUGGAGGAAAGCCGUAAGGCGGCGAUGGACGAGUCUGCGCCCGAUUAGGUAGUUGGCGGGGUAACGGCCCACCAAGCCUGCGAUCGGUAGCUGGUCUGAGAGGAUGAUCAGCCACAUUGGGAUUGAGAACGGCCCAAAUCCCUACGGGGAGCAGCAGUGAGGAAUAUUCGGCAAUGGGCGCAAGCCUGACCGAGCGACGCCGCGUGGGGGACGACGCUUUUCGGAGUGUAAACCCCUUUUCCCGAGGACGAGACAGGACGGUACUCGGGGAAGAAGUCUCGGCUAACUACGUGCCAGCAGCCGCGGUAAUACGUAGGAGGCAAGCGUUGUCCGGAGUUACUGGGCGUAAAGCGUGUGUAGGCGGUUGGCUGCGUCCGGUGUGAAAUCUCCCGGCUUACCUGGGAGGGGGCAUCGGAUACGAGCGGACUUGAGGGCAUCAGAGGCCAGUAGAACUCCCGGUGGACCAGUGAAAUGGGUAGAGAUCGGGAAGAAUACCAGUGGUGCAGACGGCUGGCUGGGGUGUACCUGACGCUGAGACACGAAAGCAUGGGGAGCAAACAGGAUUAGAUACCCUGGUAUUCCAUGCUGUAAACGAUGUCCACUAGGUGUGCGGGGUAUCGACCCCCUGC